AGCGUACACGGUGGAUGCCCUGGCAGUCAGAGGCGAUGAAGGACGUGCUAAUCUGCGAUAAGCGUCGGUAAGGUGAUAUGAACCGUUAUAACCGGCGAUUUCCGAAUGGGGAAACCCAGUGUGUUUCGACACACUAUCAUUAACUGAAUCCAUAGGUUAAUGAGGCGAACCGGGGGAACUGAAACAUCUAAGUACCCCGAGGAAAAGAAAUCAACCGAGAUUCCCCCAGUAGCGGCGAGCGAACGGGGAGCAGCCCAGAGCCUGAAUCAGUGUGUGUGUUAGUGGAAGCGUCUGGAAAGGCGCGCGAUACAGGGUGACAGCCCCGUACACAAAAAUGCACAUGCUGUGAGCUCGAUGAGUAGGGCGGGACACGUGGUAUCCUGUCUGAAUAUGGGGGGACCAUCCUCCAAGGCUAAAUACUCCUGACUGACCGAUAGUGAACCAGUACCGUGAGGGAAAGGCGAAAAGAACCCCGGCGAGGGGAGUGAAAAAGAACCUGAAACCGUGUACGUACAAGCAGUGGGAGCACGCUUAGGCGUGUGACUGCGUACCUUUUGUAUAAUGGGUCAGCGACUUAUAUUCUGUAGCAAGGUUAACCGAAUAGGGGAGCCGAAGGGAAACCGAGUCUUAACUGGGCGUUAAGUUGCAGGGUAUAGACCCGAAACCCGGUGAUCUAGCCAUGGGCAGGUUGAAGGUUGGGUAACACUAACUGGAGGACCGAACCGACUAAUGUUGAAAAAUUAGCGGAUGACUUGUGGCUGGGGGUGAAAGGCCAAUCAAACCGGGAGAUAGCUGGUUCUCCCCGAAAGCUAUUUAGGUAGCGCCUCGUGAAUUCAUCUCCGGGGGUAGAGCACUGUUUCGGCAAGGGGGUCAUCCCGACUUACCAACCCGAUGCAAACUGCGAAUACCGGAGAAUGUUAUCACGGGAGACACACGGCGGGUGCUAACGUCCGUCGUGAAGAGGGAAACAACCCAGACCGCCAGCUAAGGUCCCAAAGUCAUGGUUAAGUGGGAAACGAUGUGGGAAGGCCCAGACAGCCAGGAUGUUGGCUUAGAAGCAGCCAUCAUUUAAAGAAAGCGUAAUAGCUCACUGGUCGAGUCGGCCUGCGCGGAAGAUGUAACGGGGCUAAACCAUGCACCGAAGCUGCGGCAGCGACGCUUAUGCGUUGUUGGGUAGGGGAGCGUUCUGUAAGCCUGCGAAGGUGUGCUGUGAGGCAUGCUGGAGGUAUCAGAAGUGCGAAUGCUGACAUAAGUAACGAUAAAGCGGGUGAAAAGCCCGCUCGCCGGAAGACCAAGGGUUCCUGUCCAACGUUAAUCGGGGCAGGGUGAGUCGACCCCUAAGGCGAGGCCGAAAGGCGUAGUCGAUGGGAAACAGGUUAAUAUUCCUGUACUUGGUGUUACUGCGAAGGGGGGACGGAGAAGGCUAUGUUGGCCGGGCGACGGUUGUCCCGGUUUAAGCGUGUAGGCUGGUUUUCCAGGCAAAUCCGGAAAAUCAAGGCUGAGGCGUGAUGACGAGGCACUACGGUGCUGAAGCAACAAAUGCCCUGCUUCCAGGAAAAGCCUCUAAGCAUCAGGUAACAUCAAAUCGUACCCCAAACCGACACAGGUGGUCAGGUAGAGAAUACCAAGGCGCUUGAGAGAACUCGGGUGAAGGAACUAGGCAAAAUGGUGCCGUAACUUCGGGAGAAGGCACGCUGAUAUGUAGGUGAAGUCCCUUGCGGAUGGAGCUGAAAUCAGUCGAAGAUACCAGCUGGCUGCAACUGUUUAUUAAAAACACAGCACUGUGCAAACACGAAAGUGGACGUAUACGGUGUGACGCCUGCCCGGUGCCGGAAGGUUAAUUGAUGGGGUCAGCGCAAGCGAAGCUCUUGAUCGAAGCCCCGGUAAACGGCGGCCGUAACUAUAACGGUCCUAAGGUAGCGAAAUUCCUUGUCGGGUAAGUUCCGACCUGCACGAAUGGCGUAAUGAUGGCCAGGCUGUCUCCACCCGAGACUCAGUGAAAUUGAACUCGCUGUGAAGAUGCAGUGUACCCGCGGCAAGACGGAAAGACCCCGUGAACCUUUACUAUAGCUUGACACUGAACAUUGAGCCUUGAUGUGUAGGAUAGGUGGGAGGCUUGGAAGUGUGGACGCCAGUCUGCAUGGAGCCGACCUUGAAAUACCACCCUUUAAUGUUUGAUGUUCUAACGUUGACCCGUAAUCCGGGUUGCGGACAGUGUCUGGUGGGUAGUUUGACUGGGGCGGUCUCCUCCUAAAGAGUAACGGAGGAGCACGAAGGUUGGCUAAUCCUGGUCGGACAUCAGGAGGUUAGUGCAAUGGCAUAAGCCAGCUUGACUGCGAGCGUGACGGCGCGAGCAGGUGCGAAAGCAGGUCAUAGUGAUCCGGUGGUUCUGAAUGGAAGGGCCAUCGCUCAACGGAUAAAAGGUACUCCGGGGAUAACAGGCUGAUACCGCCCAAGAGUUCAUAUCGACGGCGGUGUUUGGCACCUCGAUGUCGGCUCAUCACAUCCUGGGGCUGAAGUAGGUCCCAAGGGUAUGGCUGUUCGCCAUUUAAAGUGGUACGCGAGCUGGGUUUAGAACGUCGUGAGACAGUUCGGUCCCUAUCUGCCGUGGGCGCUGGAGAACUGAGGGGGGCUGCUCCUAGUACGAGAGGACCGGAGUGGACGCAUCACUGGUGUUCGGGUUGUCAUGCCAAUGGCACUGCCCGGUAGCUAAAUGCGGAAGAGAUAAGUGCUGAAAGCAUCUAAGCACGAAACUUGCCCCGAGAUGAGUUCUCCCUGACUCCUUGA
rnacentral:rRNA from 1 species